AAAUACAAAAAUAAACAGGCUCAUAAUACAUGAGAUACACUAGUUGGAUGAUGGAGGAAGGAUAAGGAUAAGGAUAAGGUAUUAUUGACCCAGCAUUCUUAAGAGAGAAAGAUCCCAAUCUAUAAUUUGGAUUUUUUUAAAAUUAACAUAAUUAAUUAAAAAUAUUAACAGAAUAACACAAUUGAAAAAAGAAUUGAUGAAAUAAUAUAGUUUUUAUAUGUCACAUGAUUAAAAAACAUAAUUUUUAUAACUUGUCACUAUUCAAAAUAAUAAUUUCUAAUAAAAAAUAUUAAACGGGCGAAGAGAAGAGAGACAAGAAAGAAAAAAUAAAAAAAAUCUUAAAUACACAACGAAGUUCAAAUUACAAUACAACUGAUACUAUUAAAAAAAUCUUGAUAAGAUAAAUUCAAUAAUAUCAAAAAAUAUAAACAAUAAUGACCCGAGUGAGUUAUAUUUACUGCUUAUAAAGUAAAAAUAUUUUACUAUUACCAAAUAAAAUCAAAGAAGAAAAUGUUAGGGAGAAAAAUUCAAAUUAUUUAAGAUACAUAUUUAAAAGAUUAUAAAUAUAAUAAAUUAUUUGAAUAUAUAAAUGAAGGCACAAAGAUUCCUCAAAUUAAUUGGAGGAUAUCUCUUUCAUAUUUUUAUCCAUUCCUACGCCCACGUAUAUACGGAGACGAAGAUCCUUCAAUGUCCUUCCCUAUGAUAAAUAGAGGAAUACAAUUUCCAUCCGUACAAAUAGACCAAACAAGUACAUUGCAAUCCUUUACAAAAUUUCCAGGUCAGUAUGAAACAAACGUGUCACAACCCAAUAUCUUUGUUUCAAAGAAAAUCAAUGCAGCUACGAUCUCAUCAAAACAGUCCAUAAAAAAUCAACACAAAACAUAAAACCAUAAUUUAUAAUUAUCAUUUUAAUAUUUUAUAUUUAAUUUACUUGUAAAAUAUUAAUUUGAUUUCAUUCUAAUUAAGAAUUAUCAUGUAAAUUAAGGUUAUAUAUUAACUAAAAAAUAUUUAUAUUAAAUUUAAAAUAAAAAAUAAGUUUAUGACACUGUCUAAAUAUGAAAAUAUAAAAAAUAUAAUUAUAAUAUUUUAUAUUGCUAAAAAGUACUUAUAUAUAAAAGAAAAAAAAUUAUAUUGUCCAUGUUUUUAUUUUAUUUAGAAAACAGUGGAAAGCUUAUAUUAAAAAACUAUGUAGAAUCUCUAAAAUAUAUUUUUCAAACUCAAUAUAAAUUUUAAAAAAUAGUUUUUUUUUUAGAUAAAUAAAAUUUUAAAUUUUAGUUUUUUAUGAUUCCAGAUUCUUACAAAAUUAAAAUACUAUAUCGUUUCUAAUUAAUUAAACCGCCCUGGUCUUUCUCACUAAUUUGCUGCCGAAACUUCCCUAAGGACUAACUUUGACCUUUUAAAUCUUUAUUACAAGUACAGUGAUCACUAGUUGCUGGCUAAAUCAAUUUUGAUAGAGUUGCAUGUUUAUGUAUGUUGUCAGAGCUAGCUAGCUGGUGAAGAUGGGGGUUGAUCAGCAGCAAGGGUCACCGUCCUACUACAGUUUUCUUGGUGUUAGUUCAGAAUCUUCUUUCGACGAACUUAUCUCAAGCUUGCUAUGAUAUGUAUUAUUAAACGAUUAUUUUUUUUGGUUUGAUAUAUAUUUCUUCUGAAUUAAGUUGCAAAUUAAUUAAUUAGUUAGCCCAGGUGGAAUAAUGAUUUAUGAAUGGUUGUUUGUUAGUGCAGCAAUGGCAUCCAGAUAGGAGGACAAGAACACCUUCUCUUUUGGGUGAAGCCAAAUGUAAAUUUCAGCAAAUCCAAAUUAAGGCCUAUUCAGUAUUAUCCGAUCAGAGGAAAUGAACAAUGCAUGAUGCAGGAUUAAAUGACCCUUUAGACGAAAAAGAAGAAGGAGAAGAUGAUGAUGAUGAUGAUGAUGAGGAAUGCACCAAGCUAUUCGAUCCUAACCAGUCAAUGAAUCUGCUGCACAAUCUCCACGAGUAGUGAAGGUGUAAGAAAAUGUGCUAAAUGGAUUUGAUCAUAUGUCCCCUACUAAGAAAGCCUCUAGUGUAUAAGCUGUUAUUAAGGAGAAGCCAAAUAAACAUAUCUAAAGGUGUCAGUCCUUUUCAUAAAAAAAUGAAGAAACUCCAGGAUAUUGAAUUUGAUCAUUGUUGUGAUAGACUGACUUAAUACUGUAGUUACCAUCCUUCUCAUAAACCCAUUGCCAUGUACAACUAAAUCUGAAAGAUUACUGAAUCUGAAAGAUUGCACAGCUUCAAAUUUUGCCUUUUGUUUUAAUUCACUGUAUCAAUGAAUUCUCUGAUACGUUUUGUUUUUCUAGUGCUCCUUCCUUUCCUUGGGCUAAUCAUGUUUGUUUGUGCCAGGGACUUUCUGAUUUCGAGCAAGAAGUAUUGAAUCUCACAGCGCAGGAUAAGAGACAGGUCCGGAAGUUGAUCUAUCCUUAAUUAACUAACUAAUUUUUCAUGAUUAACAUCUCCUAGCGCGAAGGAUGUUUCGUUUGUUGCAUGAGGCAUCGCAAUUUCUGUGACUGUUCUUUCUUUCUUGUGAGUUUUUGUUGAUAAACUUGAAUUAAGGUCCUACCAAACUGUUUGAUAUUACCAAAUUUGAGUGUGGGACAAUCCAAACGACUUACCCCUAUCACUGUUGAUUCUUAGAAUUGACAUUUUUUCUUACACGAGGCUUUAUGCAAUUUGAGUCAAUAAUUUUUCUUUCUCAUGCAUCAUCUUUAUAUAGCCAUUAUAGAAUCAACAAGGUUUUUUUUCACAGAAAUUAAAAACAUCUCUUGUGAUUUGCAACUCGAUAUGUCUUAUGAAUUUUGCCAGUGUUGAUAAAGAAAACCGAAUUCUACAGAAAGAUCCUUCAUUCUUUUUACUGUAGUGUAGGGGUAGUUAUGAAAACAUUUGUUAUGUUGGGGGAAAUCAUUAUCACAGUGAGUGCAGCCCAUGAAUUUGGGGAAGUCGACGAGAUGUCCAACAUACUUGUAGUUUAUUAGCCUGAGUCGUGGAAGGUCCUGACGUACGGCCAUAUGUAAACUGAAGGAAGGAUAAGAAUCUUGCUUAGACUAUCACAGCGCGCAUUUGGAAGAGAAAACGUUAAACUCUAUCUAGGUGGAGUAGUUGAGAGGUUUUAAGGUACAAAUCAAUCUGUUAAAUGAAUUGUGCCCAUUGAUAAAGAAAAUUGAUGCUUUAAGAAACAUCCAUCUUUCUCUUUUUUUUUUUUUUUUAGUUUAACGUGGGUGUCUGAGCCAGCUUGCGCGUACCUCGACUAAUCCCACGGGCCCUGAAGUUAAUGACCAUGUAAGCCUCCAGUGGCUAUCAUAUGAGCAACCACAUGGCUCGAACCUGAGACCACAGAGAAAGCAAAUCUCUUAAUCCCAAGUUCUUACCACUGAGCCACCAUCUAGAUGGUUUCAUCUUUCUCUUUUGUUUUUGAAGUGUAGGGACUUUUAUGAAAGCAUUUUUUUCCAGUUUUGAUAUGAGGAGAAAUGAUGACCAACGAGUGCAACUCUUGAAUUUGGGAAGUUGACAAGAUAUUAAAACCAACUUGGAGGUCCUGCAGCCGUGCUUAAACUAUAGAAAGGUGGGAUAAGGAUUUUGCUUAUAUGUCUCGUCUAACUAUUAUGAUCAUACGAUUAUAUAUGUGGAAGAAGAUGUGCGAACUCAAUCUAAAUGGUGGAAUAGUUCGGAUAAUUAGAAGUCAGCUGGCCUCCAUAUUGGGACUGAUAUUCCACUGUUGGCACAUUUUUAUUAUCUAUAAAUUAAGUUCAAUAGCAUAACGUUUUUGCUGAAGCUACACCACUUUUCACCCUUUUAUAUUUUAUCAUAGAUUAUAAUAAUGAAAUUUUUAAUAGUUUUUAAUUUGAUUCUUAAAUUUUUAUUGUAUACAAUUGAGCCCAAAUUAAAGCUCAAUUACAUGUUUUUUUUGGUGCGAGUGUUGAAUUGCAAGA